rnacentral:rRNA from 1 species
UACGUAGGGUGCAAGCGUUGUCCGGAAUUAUUGGGCGUAAAGAGCUCGUAGGCGGUUUGUCGCGUCGAAUGUGAAAACCCGGGGCUCAACUCCGGGCCUGCAUUCGAUACGGGCAGACUAGAGUUCGGUAGGGGAGUCUGGAAUUCCUGGUGUAGCGGUGAAAUGCGCAGAUAUCAGGAGGAACACCAAUGGCGAAAGCAGCUCUCUGGGACGGUACUGACGCUGAGACGCGAAAGCGUGGGGAGCGAACAGG